AACGAACGCUGGCGGCGGGCCUCAUACAUGCAAGUCGAGCGCGAAAGUCCGCAAGGAUGAGUAAAGCGGCGCACGGGUGAGUAACACGUGGGUAAUCUACCUUUUGGAUUGGAAUAACCUGUCGAAAGACGGGCUAAUGCCAAGUAAGUUCUUUGGAACGUGGAGUUUUUGAAGAAGAAAGAUGGCGCAAGCUAUCGCCGAAAGAUGGAAGCCUGCGUCCCAUUAGUUAGUUGGUGGGGUAAUGGCUUACCAAGACAAUGAUGGGUACCUGGUCUGAGAGGAUGACCAGGCACACUGGAACUGAAACACGGUCCAGACUCCUACGGGAGGCAGCAGUA
rnacentral:rRNA from 1 species